rnacentral:tRNA from 1 species
GGAGGGUUGGCCGAGCGGUUUAUGGCGCUGGUCUUGAAAACCAGUUCCCGCAAGGGAGCACAGGUUCGAAUCCUGUACCCUCCG